CUUAGAGUUUGAUCCUGGCUCAGGAUGAACGCUGGCGGUAUGCUUAACACAUGCAAGUCGAACGGUGUCUUCGGACAUAGUGGCGGACGGGUGGGUAACGCGUGAGAAUCUAGCUUCAGGUCUGGGACAACCACUGGAAACGGUGGCUAAUACCGGAUGUGCCGGAAGGUGAAAGGCUUGCUGCCUGAAGAUGAGCUCGCGUCCGAUUAGCUAGUAGGUGGGGUAAGAGCCUACCUAGGCGACGAUCGGUAGCUGGUCUGAGAGGAUGACCAGCCACACUGGGACUGAGACACGGCCCAGACUCCUACGGGAGGCAGCAGUGGGGAAUUUUCCGCAAUGGGCGAAAGCCUGACGGAGCAAUACCGCGUGAGGGAGGAAGGCUCUUGGGUUGUAAACCUCUUUUCUCAGGGAAGAACACAAUGACGGUACCUGAGGAAUCAGCAUCGGCUAACUCCGUGCCAGCAGCCGCGGUAAUACGGAGGAUGCAAGCGUUAUCCGGAAUGAUUGGGCGUAAAGCGUCCGCAGGUGGCUGUGUAAGUCUGCUGUCAAAGAGCAAAGCUCAACUUUGUAAAGGCAGUGGAAACUACACGGCUAGAGUGCGUUCGGGGCAGAGGGAAUUCCUGGUGUAGCGGUGAAAUGCGUAGAGAUCAGGAAGAACACCGGUGGCGAAGGCGCUCUGCUAGGCCGCAACUGACACUGAGGGACGAAAGCUAGGGGAGCGAAUGGGAUUAGAUACCCCAGUAGUCCUAGCUGUAAACGAUGG
rnacentral:rRNA from 1 species